rnacentral:rRNA from 1 species
GUAGGGAAUAUUGGACAAUGGGGGCAACCCUGAUCCAGCAAUGCCGCGUGAGUGAUGAAGGCCUUAGGGUUGUAAAGCUCUUUUACCAGGGAUGAUAAUGACAGUACCUGGAGAAUAAGCUCCGGCUAACUCCGUGCCAGCAGCCGCGGUAAUACGGAGGGAGCUAGCGUUGUUCGGAAUUACUGGGCGUAAAGCGCGCGUAGGCGGCGAUUUAAGUCAGAGGUGAAAGCCCGGGGCUCAACCCCGGAAUAGCCUUUGAGACUGGAUUGCUAGAAUCCUGGAGAGGUGAGUGGAAUUCCGAGUGUAGAGGUGAAAUUCGUAGAUAUUCGGAAGAACACCAGUGGCGAAGGCGGCUCACUGGACAGGUAUUGACGCUGAGGUGCGAAAGCGUGGGGAGCAAACAGGAUUAGAAACCCCGGUAGUCC